rnacentral:sRNA from 2 species
UAAACAUACCUCUAGGGUUCCGACUUAAACCCCAGCUUAAGUGUCUGGUCCGAGAGAGGUAAGCUGCUAAGGAUCGAAAACUAAAUAAAGUAGGGGUUUGGGGGCGAAGCCCCCAAGCAGGGGCAACACCCCUGCACCCCAAUUGUUCAUCUUAUUUAAUUCGUGAUCCUAAGGUCUUCCUGUAAAAGGAGAUGGCAGUUACACGGCGGGAUAAAAGCCCGGGAGAG